AGAAUCAGCUUUGUCUUUGCUCCUACAAAACCAUGGGUAGAAACUAGGAAACUUAUAACAAGGUUCACCAAAACCCCAUGGACAUACUUUAUAUUCAGACUUGAUGAGUAACCUUUCAAUAGCUUUCCGAUCUAUCAAGCCAUCAUCAACAGCUAAAACAUGUGGUUUCUCAUCAAAAUCAAACCCCAUUGAUGGU